UACGUAGGUGGCAAGCGUUGUCCGGAUUUAUUGGGUUUAAAGGGUGCGUAGGCGGCCUUGUAAGUCAGUAGUGAAAUACCCCAGCUCAACUGGGGGGGUGCUAUUGAUACUGCAGGGCUUGAGUACAGAUGAGGUAGGCGGAAUGUGACAAGUAGCGGUGAAAUGCAUAGAUAUGUCACAGAACACCGAUUGCGAAGGCAGCUUACUAUGGUUUUAUUGACGCUGAGGCACGAAAGCGUGGGGAUCAAACAGG
rnacentral:rRNA from 1 species